ACUCCUACGGGAGGCAGCAGUGGGGAAUAUUGCGCAAUGGGGGCAACCCUGACGCAGCCAUGCCGCGUGAAUGAAGAAGGCCUUCGGGUUGUAAAGUUCUUUCGGUGACGAGGAAGGUUGUUGUGUUAAUAGCGCAACAAAUUGACGUUAAUCACAGAAGAAGCACCGGCUAACUCCGUGCCAGCAGCCGCGGUAAUACGGAGGAUGCAAGCGUUAUCCGGAUUUACUGGGUUUAAAGGGCGCGCAGGCGGCCCGGCCAGUCUCCGGUGAAACCCUGGGGCUCAACCCCGGGCGUGCCGGGGAUACUGCCGGGCUUGGAUGCGGUCGAGGCCGGCGGAACGCGCGGUGUAGCGGUGAAAUGCUUAGAUAUCGCGUGGAAGGCCGAUAGCGAAGGCAGCUGGCCAGGCCGCGAUCGACGCUCAGGCGCGAAAGCGUGGGGAUCGAACGGGAUUAGAUACCCCGGUAGUCCACGCCGUAAACGAUGGGCACUGGCUGUCGGCGGGUUACCGUCGGCGGCUGCGCGAAAGCGUUAAGUGCCCCACCUGGGGAGUACGGCCGCAAGGCUGAAACUCAAAGGAAUUGACGGGGGCCCGCACAAGCGGAGGAACAUGUGGUUUAAUUCGAUGAUACGCGAGGAACCUUACCCGGGCUUGAACCAAGAGUGACGAGUGCAGAGAUGCGCUUUUUCUUCGGACACUUUUGGAGGUGCUGCAUGGUUGUCGUCAGCUCGUGCCGUGAGGUGUCGGCUUAAGUGCCAUAACGAGCGCAACCCCUUUCUUCAGUUGCCAUCAGGUGAUGCUGGGCACUCUGUAGACACUGCCACCGCAAGGUGUGAGGAAGGUGGGGAUGACGUCAAAUCAGCACGGCCCUUACGUCCGGGGCUACACACGUGUUACAAUGGCCGGUACAGAGAGUUGAUUUUGUGCAAACACGAUCUAAUCCUUAAAUCCGGUCCCAGUUCGGACUGGGGUCUGCAACCCGACCCCACGAAGCUGGAUUCGCUAGUAAUCGCGCAUCAGCCAUGGCGCGGUGAAUACGUUCCCGGGCCUUGUACACACCGCCCGUCAAGCCAUGAAAGCCGGGGGUGCCUGAAGUUCGUGACCGCGAGGAGCGACCUAGGGCAAGACCGGUGAUUGGGGCUAAGUCGUAACAAGGUAGCCGUACCGGAAGGGGCGGCUG
rnacentral:rRNA from 1 species